rnacentral:ribozyme from 1 species
CAAGUGGGAAGUUCUGUGACUGGGAAGGUCACCAAUGUCUUGCGUGACCGCGUGUGGGUCGAUGUGGGUGCAGAAAGCGAUGCGACGUUUAAGAAAUCACCGGAGA